rnacentral:rRNA from 1 species
UACGUAGGGUGCAAGCGUUUGUCCGGAAUUAUUGGGCGUAAAGAGCUCGUAGGCGGUCUGUCGCGUCUGCUGUGAAAACUCGGGGCUUAACCCCGGGCCUGCAGUGGGUACGGGCAGACUAGAGUGCGGUAGGGGAGACUGGAAUUCCUGGUGUAGCGGUGAAAUGCGCAGAUAUCAGGAGGAACACCGGUGGCGAAGGCGGCUCUCUGGGACGGUACUGACGCUGAGACGCGAAAGCGUGGGGAGCGAACAGG